rnacentral:rRNA from 1 species
AGUGAACGCUGGCGGUAGGCCUAACACAUGCAAGUCGAACGGCAGCACAGGAGAGCUUGCUCUCUGGGUGGCGAGUGGCGGACGGGUGAGGAAUACAUCGGAAUCUACUUUUUCGUGGGGGAUAACGUAGGGAGACUUACGCUAAUACCUCAUACGACCUACGGGUCAAAGCAGGGGAUCUUCGGACCUUGCGCGAUUGAAUGAGCCGAUGUCGGAUUAGCUAGUUGGCGGGGUAAAGGCCCACCAAGGCGACGAUCCGUAGCUGGUCUGAGAGGAUGAUCAGCCACACUGGAACUGAGACACGGUCCAGACUCCUACGGGAGGCAGCAGUGGGGAAUAUUGGACAAUGGGCGCAAGCCUGAUCCAGCCAUACCGCGUGGGUGAAGAAGGCCUUCGGGUUGUAAAGCCCUUUUGUUGGGAAAGAAAUCCAGCUGGUUAAUACCCGGUUGGGAUGACGGUACCCAAAGAAUAAGCACCGGCUAACUUCGUGCCAGCCGCCGCAGUAA